CGGGGUAUAGCGCAGCGGUAGCGCGCACGGUUCGGGACCGUGAGGCCGCGGGUUCGAUCCCCGCUACCCCGA
rfam:Candidatus Thrbacteria bacterium RIFCSPHIGHO2_12_FTLL_57_11 rifcsphigho2_12_scaffold_19435, whole genome shotgun sequence.